rnacentral:miRNA from 1 species
UGUACAAGUAUCCAAAGAGGUAGCAGCACUCACAGAGUUUAAAAAUUCUAUUCUUUAUUUGUUGCAAAUAAAGAAUAGAAUUUUUAAACUCUGUGAGUGCUGCUACCUCUUUGGAUACUUGUGU